rnacentral:rRNA from 1 species
UUAUGCCUACGGGAGGCAGCAGUGAGGAAUAUUGGUCAAUGGCCGGAAGGCUGAACCAGCCACGCCGCGUGAAGGACGAAGGUGCCAAGCAUUGUAAACUUCUUUUGUCAAGGGACAAAAUCAGGCUCGAGAGCCUGACCGAGGGUACUUGAAGAAAAAGCAUCGGCUAACUCCGUGCCAGCAGCCGCGGUAAUACGGAGGAUCCGAGCGUUAUCCGGAUUUAUUGGGUUUAAAGGGAGCGUAGAUGGGUUGUUAAGCCGGCGGUAAAAAUUCAGGGCUCAACCCUGUCGAGCCGUCGGAACUGG